rnacentral:rRNA from 1 species
ACGCUAGCUACAGGCUUAACACAUGCAAGUCGAGGGGAAACGACAUCGAAAGCUUGCUUUUGAUGGGCGUCGACCGGCGCACGGGUGAGUAACGCGUAUCCAACCUGCCCAUCACUUGGGGAUAACCUUGCGAAAGUAAGACUAAUACCCAAUGAUAUCUCUAGAAGACAUCUGAAAGAGAUUAAAGAUUUAUCGGUGAUGGAUGGGGAUGCGUCUGAUUAGCUUGUUGGCGGGGUAACGGCCCACCAAGGCGACGAUCAGUAGGGGUUCUGAGAGGAAGGUCCCCCACAUUGGAACUGAGACACGGUCCAAACUCCUACGGGAGGCAGCAGUGAGGAAUAUUGGUCAAUGGGCGAGAGCCUGAACCAGCCAAGUAGCGUGCAGGAUGACGGCCCUAUGGGUUGUAAACUGCUUUUAUAAGGGAAUAAAGUGAGUCUCGUGAGACUUUUUGCAUGUACCUUAUGAAUAAGGACCGGCUAAUUCCGUGCCAGCAGCCGCGGUAAUACGGAAGGUCCGGGCGUUAUCCGGAUUUAUUGGGUUUAAAGGGAGCGUAGGCCGGAGAUUAAGCGUGUUGUGAAAUGUAGACGCUCAACGUCUGCACUGCAGCGCGAACUGGUUUCCUUGAGUACGCACAAAGUGGGCGGAAUUCGUGGUGUAGCGGUGAAAUGCUUAGAUAUCACGAAGAACUCCGAUUGCGAAGGCAGCUCACUGGAGCGCAACUGACGCUGAAGCUCGAAAGUGCGGGUAUCGAACAGGAUUAGAUACCCUGGUAGUCCGCACGGUAAACGAUGGAUGCCCGCUGUUGGUCUGAAUAGGUCAGCGGCCAAGCGAAAGCAUUAAGCAUCCCACCUGGGGAGUACGCCGAACAGACGGUGAAAC